CUGAAGUGAGUCUUCAAUCAUUGAAGCUUCUUCCCAUUGUGCUGGCUUUGACCGUAUGUAAUGUUGGGGAUUAAACAUGGUUGAGAGAAAUCUUGGCCGUCCCCAACAAAUUAUCUUAUCCUUUAUUAAAUUGAACUGAACUCAUUUUGAGAUUACAUAAAAAAAAUAA
rnacentral:misc_RNA from 1 species